rnacentral:rRNA from 1 species
UUUUUAGCGGCGGACGGGUGAGUAACGUGUGGGCAACCUGCCUUUUACUGGGGAAUAAUCACUGGAAACGGUGACUAAUACCGCAUAAUAUUCUUGGAAGGCAUCUUCCGAGAAGGAAAGGAAAUAUUCGGUAAAAGAUGGGCCCGCAUCUGAUUAGCUAGUUGGUGAGAUAACAGUCCACCAAGGCGACGAUCAGUAGCCGACCUGAGAGGGUGACCGGCCACAUUGGGACUGAGACACGGCCCAAACUCCUACGGAAGGCAGCAG